ACCAGGCUGGCAGACAGUUGUUACCGUGCAACGAGCAGACGCUUGCGAAAAGUACUAGCUACAAAAUUGGCAAAAUUGCCUGCUGCUGUAUACAUAGCGCGCGUGUGUGUAUGUUGCUAACCUAGCUAGUUAGCUAGCCAUCAAUAAAGUUCUUAAUGUUACAACAUGGCAGACGGCUUGAGCACCCACACCGGACUGGCUGCCUAUCGUUCCCGGGAUGCUGUCAAAAACCUUACAAUUAAGAUCCGUAUUCAGAGAGUCACCUCCACAGCAGCCCUCUCCCAACACCUUCAGCAGCAGGUUUGGACUCAACAGGAGAGGGGAGGCAUUGAGCUGGACACCCUCAACUCACAGACUCAAUCAGCAUUCCCAGAGUAUGGUGACGCAGGUCAAGUCCAAUCCUACCUUACUGGCACAUAGGAUGGCCAAUGUCAGACACAGACGACAGGACAGACGCCCAGUUGACCGCACCAUCCCCACGUCCAGGCUGAUUACCUGGGACCCCUCGGAGGACUUUGUGAAGACCAGCCACAUGGUCAACACACCUGUACAGACCAUGCACAUCAUGGGGAACCUGGGACCAGCGGGCAAACUUGGCCAAAAGGAGAAGGAAUGCUUGUCUGCACGAUAAGAGCAGAUGGAAAUGGAGUGGUUACCAUCAAACCAGACUUCAACAAAGGCAAGGAGCCCUACUGGCCAGUGACCCGCACCCGCUGAAGUCAAAAUGUUUUACCCCUAGCUCAAGUUGAGAUGGAGGGGGAGAAGAGGGAGGUGUGGCGUCAGACCAGAGGAGACGGAACAGCAACAGUGCAUAUAUAGACCGUUAUGUACGUCAUAAAGACUACCUCAACAGCUUGGUUGGCCAGGACUGAAAUGGUAUGCAUGUAGUUUGUAACAGAUCUUUAACACAAGUUGUUUCGUCAGCAAAGGUCAUCUCAAAUCCAAUUUUAUUUGUUACAUGUGCUG